GCUCUACUCGACGAGUUGGUUGACCUACGCGUCGAGUAGCAGCGGGAUGGGGUUGCAGGUUAAGUGACCUACUCGACGAGUCCAUGGGGGGACUCGGCGAGUAGGAGCUGACAGUGGAAACCUUAAAGCCCCGGGUUUGCACCUCUAUUUAAAGAAGCCUUAGCAUCCUUUGGCCCCUUUACAGUCUUUGAGAGCCUCCUUAAACUCUAAGACGCGUGCGUGUGCCCAUUGUGUGUUUGAAGCCUUGGAGGAGGAUUUUGGUGGGAAAGAGCUUGGGAAGCAAGUGGUUCGAAGCAAGAAGCUUGGGGGAAAAUCCGGAUCUACUCCAGUUGUCAUCUCUUGGGAAGGUGGUGGAACCUAUGUCAAGUGAUCCGAGAAUUUGGAGUUUACCUUUCGUGUUGACAUCUGCGAGGAGUCCAUGGAAAGACGAAGGCGUGACCGUACCGCUCCUCAUCCUUAUGUUAUGAUUUUUGGGACGCUCUGAUGGAAAUGAUUUGAAAACAUUUUGUAAACAAUGCUAUAUGGUUUUUAUUUAUGAUUGAAAAAGUUCAAAUUUGGCGUAAAAUUUAUGGUGUUACAUGAAUCGUCUCAGAUGACGUCAAACAACCACCAACAACGUCAACCUCCUUUGCUUCUAUUUUCUUUCAUAUCUUCGUGAACAUCGUCAAACCACCUCAUCAACUUCUACUUUUCUCUCUAAACCACCAGAAAAUGUCAGGUGCAGAUCUAGAUCGUCGAAAUAUCUCAGAUUUAGUGAGAAACUAACGACAACUACAUGCCGAAAUAUCUCAGAUCUGGAACCAUAACAUAGGACGAGAAUCAAUGGUGAGAAUGUUUUGAUGAGAUCGACAAAGUUCUUGCGAGAUUGACAACGAGAAUAAGUUGAAAACCAUCAGAUCUACCGUUGUUGCCGCCUAACACCACCUCUACAUCUAUUUUUCUCUGGUCUCCGCUGAAAACCGUCAGAUCUAAUGCUUCUCUCGAUUUCUCUCCCAUUUAUCUCUUCUUCUCAGAUCUGAUGUGUCUCAAGUAGAUCUAAGUCAUCCUCUUCCACAUCCACUCCUAACUGGUGUUUUCUGGUGAAAUUGACAAUGUUCUGACAACGAGAAUCAGUUGAACCAUCGUUUGAUCCACAUCAGAUCUGUUCUCCCUCAUUUGUGUCACCAUCGGAGCAUCAAAAAGCAUAAAUCACAGUCAUCUUCGUAAGGUGUUAUUCUUGAACUUGUUUUUCUUCCACAACUCUUUUUUUGUUUAUCUAAUUGGUUUCAAAACUCGUUUUUUUUCUUUCUGAUUUGGCUUAUCAUCUGUUAAAUCUCUUUCUAGACCCAUACCAGAUAUGUUCCUUCACCACAAUCUCCUCUCCUGGUGGUAUAGUUUAAAGGGUGAAGUUAUGAAUGAGUGCACUAAACUCUGAAUAUAACAUAAAUUAAACUGUGAUUUUUAUAAAUUAAACUGUGAAUUUUGUAAACUAAAUUGCUUUUUUUUUCCUGUGCUUUUUUGUAUUUUUUUAUUUUCUUUACUUUUAACUUUGUUUUAUAAAUAGUAUAAAUAAAUUUUAAAAUAUUUGAAUGUUUUGUUUUAACCUGUGAUUAGUGUAUGAUGUAUUAAACCAGGAAUCGUCUCAUUAAGUUGGGAAUGAAUCCAUUAAUUUGUGAAUUUAUUAUGAAUGAAUUGUGAAUAUACUUAUUAAACUGUGAAUUUGUAAAAUAAACUUUUUUUUUUAUUUUUUUUUAAUUUUUUUACUUUCUUUACUUUUAAUUUUGUUUAUAAAUAAUGUAAGUAAUUUUUUAAAAUUUUGAAUGUUUUGUUUUAAACUUUGAAUGUUGUAUGAUUGGAUAUACUAAGUUGUGAAUGGCCCCAUUAAGUUGUGAGUGACUCCAUUAAUUUGUGAAUGAUUCUAUUAAAUUGUGAAUUUAUUGUGAAUGUGUCGUGAAUAUUCUGAUUUAAGUUUUGAAUAUUGUAUGAAUUUUAUGUUAA